UGGGGAAUCUUGCGCAAUGGGCGAAAGCCUGACGCAGCAACGCCGCGUGCGGGAUGAAGGCUCUCGGGUCGUAAACCGCUUUCAGUAGGGACGAAACUGACUGUACCUACAGAAGAAGCCCCGGCUAAAUACGUGCCAGCAGCCGCGGUAAUACGUAUGGGGCAAGCGUUAUCCGGAUUCAUUGGGCGUAAAGAGCGCGUAGGCGGCUUGUUAAGUCAGAUGUGAAAACCGGAGGCUCAACCUCCGGCCUGCAUCUGAAACUGGCAGGCUUGAGUCUGGUAGAGGAAAGUGGAAUUCCCAGUGUAGCGGUGAAAUGCGCAGAUAUUGGGAGGAACACCAGUGGCGAAGGCGGCUUUCUGGGCCACGACUGACGCUGAGGCGCGAAAGCUAGGGGAGCAAACAGG
rnacentral:rRNA from 1 species